AGAGUUUGAUCCUGGCUCAGGAUGAACGCUGGCGGCGUGCUUAACACAUGCAAGUCGAACGUGAUUGUAGCAAUACAUGAAAGUGGCAAACGGGUGAGUAACACGUAGGUGACCUGCCUCGAAGCGGGGGAUAACCACGGGAAACUGUGGCUAAUACCGCAUUGUCCUAUUUUGAUGGGAAUCUAAAUAGGUAAAACUCUGGUGCUUCGAGAGGGGCCUGCGUCCGAUUAGCUAGUUGGUGGGGUAAUGGCCUACCAAGGCGAUGAUCGGUAGCUGGUCUGAGAGGACGAUCAGCCACACGGGAACUGAGACACGGUCCCGACUCCUACGGGGGGCAGCAGUGAGGAAUAUUGGUCAAUGGGCGAAAGCCUGAACCAGCAACGCCGCGUGGAGGAAGACGGCCUUCGGGUUGUAAACUCCUUUUAGAGGGGAAAAGUAAGGAUGGCACCCUCAGAAUAG
rnacentral:rRNA from 1 species